rnacentral:lncRNA from 1 species
CACAAUAGGCAGUAGCAAGACAGCAAACGCCACUUCAAGACUGAAUUUCUGAAACUGGCCCUUUAGCUGAGAGUGGCCAUCCUUGCCGGGGCGGGCGAUUUACUAGUUUACUAACAUUGUUACCAGGCAGCAGCCCUGGCAGCAUUUUACUAAAUCCUCAACAAGAAAACUCGCAACUCGUCUGAAGUUUCAGUUUGUUUGUUGUUACUGGAGUUAUAUCAGGGAGUUCUUUUCUAUGCCAGACUGGAGUUCAGAUUUAAAUCUUGCCCAACUCAAAAGCAAGCGCACAGGAAACACGAACCUCGCCGCCGUGAGAGCAGCCUGAGUGAGCCAGCACUCACCAAGGAAAGGGCUGCAGGUUCGCUUGAGAGUGAGGAUCAGCCGAAUUCCUCACGCUGCUCACUGAGACUUCCCCUCACUGAGACUUCACGCUCCUCACUGUCGGCUAUCGGCCGACAGAAGAUCUCACAUCCAAGUCACAAAGACUCAGAACCUUCUUCAACAAGAAACGUCACUUACAACGUGUUUGCUUCUCCAUCUCUAAGCUCAAAGUGCCCCGUUUCUCUACAGCAAAUUAGACUUUUUGCCUACUUUGGUGCUGAGAAGCCCAAACUACCAACCAAAGCUUUGGUUUUCUCUGAGGGCUGUCGGUACAGACGAGAGGCCGGGAUUGUUCUCUAGCAACCCCUGCCGGUUGACAAUAAAUGCCAGAAACUGACCCAGAGGCAUUAGUUCAUCCCCACGUUGGAGGGAAGUAAAAAAUGUCAGGCUGAGGGAGAGCAGGUAGCACCUGAACGGCUAAAACGUAGAUACGUCCGUGACCCAACUUCAACCAACCACGCAACGUCAAUGACCCAGGGGAUGCUGGAGCAACAGGAAGGAAGGAAUUGAUUGAACAAUCACGUGGAGCAAAGCCACGUUGUUAUUUAGGGCUACUACUUAAAUCAGAGAUCAUCUCUGUCUUCUUUAAGCCACUUCAGUUUGGAGGCUUUUUGUUCUAACAGAGUUCAUCCAUCAUACAAGAUUGAUGAUCCCUGCAGAAGUUAAAAGUCUAGGAAUAAGAAAUUUGCACUUUAAAGAAGUCUUUCCUUUGUCUUACGGCUUCCAGAAUUCCUGAUGAGGAGUCUGCUAUCAAUCUUAUCUUGUGGCUUUGAAGUGAUAAUGUCAUUCUCACCUGUAAUCCCAGCACUUUGGGAGGCUGAGGCC